rnacentral:rRNA from 1 species
GACGAACGCUGGCGGCGUGCCUAAUACAUGCAAGUAGAACGCUGAAGGAGGAGCUUGCUCUUCUGGAUGAGUUGCGAACGGGUGAGUAACGCGUAGGUAACCUGCCUGGUAGCGGGGGAUAACUAUUGGAAACGAUAGCUAAUACCGCAUAAUAGUAGAUGUUGCAUGACAUUUACUUAAAAGGUGCAAUUGCAUCACUACCAGAUGGACCUGCGUUGUAUUAGCUAGUUGGUGGGGUAACGGCUCACCAAGGCGACGAUACAUAGCCGACCUGAGAGGGUGAUCGGCCACACUGGGACUGAGACACGGCCCAGACUCCUACGGGAGGCAGCAGUAGGGAAUCUUCGGCAAUGGACGGAAGUCUGACCGAGCAACGCCGCGUGAGUGAAGAAGGUUUUCGGAUCGUAAAGCUCUGUUGUAAGAGAAGAACGAGUGUGAGAGUGGAAAGUUCACA